GGAUGUGAGGGUGAUACUGGCUGCAACAUCUGUCACUCCAUUGAUCACUAGGAUUGAUUCAGCUGAUCUGGCUAGCUUGUCGGGUGUCCCUCACCGCUCCAUGUCCAUCCUUCCCUACUAUAAUACAUUUUUUAAUGUUAUGUUCACUAAUACAUUGAUUUUUCAUGCAUGCUUUUUCUAACAUAUGCGCUUUUAUAAGCACUGUUCAGUUGGAGAACUGCAUCACAAAAUUCAGAUAAGAGCGAAUUUUGAAAGAUGACUACAUUUCUCUUCUU